rnacentral:rRNA from 1 species
GAGUUUGAUCGUGGCUCAGGAUGAACGCUAGCGGCAGGCUUAACACAUGCAAGUCGAGGGGUAUAGGUUUUCGGACCUAGAGACCGGCGCACGGGUGCGUAACGCGUAUGUAACCUACCUUUCACAGAGGAUAGCCCAGAGAAAUUUGGAUUAAUACCUCAUGGUAUUAUGGAAUGGCAUCAUUUUAUAAUUUAAAGUCACAACGGUGUAAAGAUGGGCAUGCGUCCCAUUAGCUAGAUGGUAAGGUAACGGCUUACCAUGGCUACGAUGGGUAGGGUCCUGAGAGGGAGAU